rnacentral:rRNA from 1 species
UACGUAGGGGGCUAGCGUUGUCCGGAAUCAUUGGGCGUAAAGGGUGCGUAGGCGGCGCGGUAAGUCGGGUGUGAAAUCUCGGAGCUUAACUCCGAAACUGCAUUCGAUACUGCCGUGCUUGAGGACUGGAGAGGAGACUGGAAUUUACGGUGUAGCGGUGAAAUGCGUAGAUAUCGGGAGGAACACCUAUGGCGAAGGCAGCUCGCUGGGACGUUACUGACGCUGAGACGCGAAAGCGUGGGGAGCAAACAGG